UACAUUUUAAUUUUUAACUCUAAUUGUUGUAAUGUCUUUCUUUUUUUGUAAUUUUUAUGUUAUUUUUGUAAAAUAUUUUAAUUUUUUUUGUUUUUGGAAGAUAUUGAAAAUUUGUUAUUUGAACUGGAUUAGUACCCAGGUAAUCAAAAUUUAUUAAUUCGGGAGUAAAGUUUUGUUUAAACCGAAAAAAUAUUGACUGACUUUAGAUUUUUCUUUGGAACAUGUGUAUGGAGAGCCCUCUUUUUUAGUGAACUUUGUUGGCACAUGUAUGAUUGUUUAGUUUUUAUAUUUUUUUGUAAUGCUAAUAAGAUUAAUUGUAAAAACAGAUAUAUAUUUGGCUUAUGGGUUUGUUAAUCAUGUGUUACUAUUAUUAAUUUUUUUUGGAUUAAAUUUUUAUUUUUUUUUGAAAUUGGAAAAGAAAGUAAUUGAUUUUUUAAUGUGUUAAUGAAUUUAAUAAAUAAAGU
rnacentral:rRNA from 1 species